CGGGCGCGGCGAACGGUCUAAGUCCCUUGGAACGGGGCGUCAUAGAGGGUGAGAAUCCCGUAUGCGACCGGCGACCAAGCCCAUGUGAAACUCCUUCGACGAGUCGAGUUGUUUGGGAAUGCAGCUCAAAAUGGGUGGUAAAUUUCAUCUAAAGCUAAAUACCGGCCAGAGACCGAUAGCGCACAAGUAGAGUGAUCGAAAGAUGAAAAGCACUUUGGAAAGAGAGUCAAAAAGUACGUGAAAUUGUUGAAAGGGAAGCGCUUGCAACCAGACCUGCCCGCGGGCGAUCAGCCGUCCCUUCGGGGGCGGUGUACUCGCCCGCGAUCAGGCCAGCAUCGGUUCGGGCGGCCGGAUAAAGGCCUUGGGAACGUAGCUCCUUUCGGGGAGUGUUAUAGCCCUCGGUGCAAUGCGGCCAGCCCGGACCGAGGACCGCGCUUCGGCUAGGAUGCUGGCGUAAUGGUUGUAAGCGGCCCGUCUUGAAACACGGACCAAGGAGUCUAACAUCUAUGCGAGUGUUUGGGUGUCAAACCCAUACGCGUAAUGAAAGUGAACGGAGGUGGGAACCCGCAAGGGCGCACCAUCGACCGAUCCAGAUGUCUUCGGAUGGAUUUGAGUACGAGCAUAGCUGUUGGGACCCGAAAGAUGGUGAACUAUACUUGAAUAGGGUGAAGCCAGAGGAGACUCUGGUGGAGGCUCGCAGCGGUUCUGACGUGCAAAUCGAUCGUCAAAUUUGAGUAUAGGGGC
rnacentral:rRNA from 1 species